UCAAUUAUUAAUAUAAUAAAGUAUCAACGUGAUUUAUAAAUGUAUUCAUUAAAUCAUGCCUUCACUUUGUAAAAAAAUACAAACGUGAGAUAAUUAUCUACCGUAGUUUCAUAAUUGUUGAAUAAAAAUAGCAUAGCCUUAAAUUCUGCAAAUGCCCAGAACCAAGUGUCUUCGAUAAUCUACCAACAGAAGUUUUGCCAUCUUAUCGUCCCUCACCUCUGGACAAACUCGGCUUCUGUUUCAAAUGCUGCUGGGUGGUGCCAUUACGUCCUGCCGCUAUCAUCAUAUGCUUUAUAUUGUUGAUGUGGAGUAUUUUGCAAGUAGUGGGUGUGGAAAAGACAACUGCGUCUCUCAUAGCUGACAAAGAUAGCAAUGUGUUUUAUUUUAUUAAGAUAACACUUGUGUGGCUCGCUACUAUGUUUAUAAUGGCGUGUGGAGUCUUACUUGUUGGUAUAAUUCUCUCAAAUCACAAACUUGUCAAUGUCUUCAUGUGGUACACUGUAAUAUAUACCAUGCUACAAUGUGCGUUGUCUCUAACUGCAUUUGGCCUUCAUGUUGUGCGAACUGGAAAGACAUCGGGAAAACUUGUAGUCCGUUUGGUACUUAGCAUUCUAUGGAAUUGUUUGGUGUUUUAUUUCCUGAAAGUUAUUAACAGUUACAAGAUGUUGAUUUGGAUGCCGUGACACAGAACAGACUUGGUGUAAUUAUAUUAUGGAACCUGGCCUUUCUUCUCUCUGGUGUCAGCGAAACCAAUACAAUAACGCAUUUUAUGUUUUAAUGGCAAUUAUAUUUAUGUUUUGCAUAAAAAAUACUCUUC